rnacentral:rRNA from 2 species
UACAGAGGCCACAAGCGUUAGGCGGAAUCACUGGGCUUAAAGCGUGUGUAGGCGGGAUGGUAAGUACUUUGUGAAAUCCCACGGCUCAACCGUGGAAAUGCUUGGUAUACUGCCGUUCUUGAAUCACCUAGGGGCAGCUGGAACUGAUGGUGGAGCGGUGAAAUGCAUAGAUAUCAUCAGGAACGCCAAUGGUGCAGACAAGCUGCUGGGGGUGUAUUGACGCUGAGGCACGAAAGCUAGGGGAGCAAACGGG